UACGAAGGGGGCUAGCGUUGCUCGGAAUUACUGGGCGUAAAGGGCGCGUAGGCGGAUAGUUUAGUCAGAGGUGAAAGCCCAGGGCUCAACCCUGGAAUUGCCUUUGAUACUGGCUAUCUUGAGUUCGGGAGAGGUGAGUGGAACUCCGAGUGUAGAGGUGAAAUUCGUAGAUAUUCGCAAGAACACCAGUGGCGAAGGCGGCUCACUGGCCCGGAACUGACGCUGAGACGCGAAAGCGUGGGGAGCAAACAGG
rnacentral:rRNA from 1 species